rnacentral:rRNA from 1 species
UACGAAGGGGGCUAGCGUUGCUCGGAAUCACUGGGCGUAAAGCGCACGUAGGCGGCUUUCUAAGUCAGGGGUGAAUCCUGGAGCUCAACUCCAGAACUGCCUUUGAUACUGGAGAGCUUGAGUCCGGAAGAGGUGAGUGGAACUCCGAGUGUAGAGGUGAAAUUCGUAGAUAUUCGCAAGAACACCAGUGGCGAAGGCGGCUCACUGGCCCGAUACUGACGCUGAGGCACGAAAGCGUGGGGAGCAAACAGG